GAACCACAAAGGGCGGCCGUCCAGUUGCUGCCCUGCGCUGCUCCUGGAGGGAACGGACCUGACCAGCUACGGGGCCAAGAUCUACAAAAUGAAGGACGGCCUCAUUGGCUCAGCUCUGGACCUCAUAAAGAAGAGCUGCAGUGCAGACAUUUCCUCCGAGGCCCCCGUCAGGCUGUCAG